rnacentral:lncRNA from 1 species
AGAUAUAAGCACAUUACAUCAUCCUGCGGUACGGUGUCUUUCAUACCGGUGAUCAUUGUGGUCGGGGCGAAAAGAAUCAUCUUAACUGAGAAUUAUAAAGAACCGAAGACCAAGACGCAGGACUUUUUAAAGCAGAGCAUCCUCCACACAGUUCUCUCCCCAGGAGAAGUCUGCUGUAAAACAUCAGUCAUAAACAAGAAAUUCUGUUUAUACCAUAGAGCUUUAUUUUCCAUAAAAAAAUUUCCAGAUAUUCCAUUUUCAUUUUAAAUUCAGAGCCUUGUUUUUAUGGAAGACAUUUUCACUGCAAUUUUGGAUAUAAUGUCUGUAUGACAAGGCUACAGGCAUUGCUCCUACUGUAAACAAAAUGUUAAAACCACACAUUUUGGAGAAAUUGAGUUUUAGCACUUUUUAUACUUGUAGAUGGAAUGAGGGAAAACAUUUUUAAUAACAAUUGUGGCUGGGUUUAGAGCUUUCUUUUGGUAGCGCCUGUUAGUAGUGAGAUGAAAGAUGAUGAGUUCGGUUAAGGAUGUGCCAGGACCUAAGGUUCAGUACUGUGAGUGGCCUUCUCCCAGCCAGACUGCCCACGAGGCUGCGAUAAUGCUCAUGGUGCAUUACACGAUUUACUUCUGACCCAUUCCAGCCAAAAAGCAAUCCCCACAAAGUCCCCUGGUCUUUUCCUUUUCUUUUUACCCACAGCAGCCUUCUCUUUACCUCCUCUUCAAACACAAGAGCCAGUUUUCAAGUCCCAUUUCAGUUCAGGGUAGCCCUGGGACAUUUUCCUCUACCCCCAGGUGACCUCUGGUUGCCAGCACUGCCUGCAACCUGAGCUUGAGAGUCCCAGUUCCACAUGGAAUUCCCAGAGGCACCCAACCUAAAGGAGCCCUGAGUGAAUUCUCAGAGGUCUUUCCAGACUUGGCUGUGAUAUAGGCCGCAGCCAGACCUGCAGCAUACAACCUGCACAGCCCAAUGUCCUGGUUUCCAUUUAUACCUGGUAAGUCACUGUUUUGUGGAUAUUUAGUCUCUUGUUGUUCCUCCUUUAGUCGUAAGGAUGACUAAGUUUAAUGAAUACAGGAUUUGUAGCUUAGAGAUCUGAGUUUUAUUACUGGUUUGACAUUAAGUGACCCUAAGCUAUUCAUUUAAUCUUUUUAUUGGGUAAGCAUACUUACAUAUGAAGUGGCCUGUUUUGAGAGCUUUUAGAUUGCCUUUAAAGCACUUUGAUCUCCCUGGAAGUAGGUGCUAGGUAAAUAAAAGUUACUCUCAAUAGUUUUUCUACAGUAGCAACAGUGGAUUCCAGUUUAGUUCUGAUAAUUCACUAAACUAGGGGCUGCCUUGUAAACUGUAAUAAAAUGUAAAGAGAAUCCCAUUGCUAGCUGUACUUUUCAUCUCUGCAUGUCAGAGAAUUCACUGACUUGGUAGCCACAGGAAUGAAAACUGGUGACUCACAAGAACUCUGCAAAUGGUGUUAUUUUUCAUUUCCCUAUGGUGUUGCUAUUGUUCCCAAUUUUAUGGAUCACACAAGUUUUCAUCAAACGACCUUGUUCUCCCGCUGUUUUGACAUCACCCCAAAUGUAGCCUCAGGGUUGUCGUCUCCCAUUGGGUCAGUGUAAGCUCAGCCCAGCGCCUCAAAUCCCUUGGUUCCUUUGGUCUGUCUGGAGUCCUAUUCAGGCUUUGUUGUGGGAGAAGAAGGCAAAGAGCCCACGACUUGCCCAGACAGUCUGAGGCCUGGCCAUGUAGCUUGCAGUUCCCUAGACACUCUGGAGUUGGACUUGGCCAGCCAUCCCUCUGUUGUUACUUUUCAGAGGUAAUAAGUGAGAUUAAUUGCAGGCCAUUCUCCGGAAGAGAAAGUAGUUAGAGCCAAAUACAGUCACAUGUUUAGAAGCCUGAGGUGUGCCUCCAAGCAAGGCCGACUUAGAAUUAUACAGUAGGGACUCCAGGAUGCAGGUACCAAGUGUUUAUGACCUCUCUCUUCCUUAAAGUGAUGUUUUCAGUUUCUAGGUGCUGAUACGUGGGUGUGUUAACUUUUCUUUAGCCAAUGAGAAAGAUUAGAUUUUUCAAGCUGCCUUUUAAUUAUCCAUUUUUGGGGUACAUGGGAAGUCAUUAGGAGCUGAAAGUUGAUGUGCAGAGCCAUCUCAUCAUUACUGCCAGCCUUCCAUGGAAUUGGACUGCAUCAGGGAGGAUUUUCUAGGUGUGGAGCACUCAGUGGGUUCUUAGUGCGUUUUUCUUUGUGAGACAUGGAAGGGUUACUGUAAAGUCUUGGCUGCUGCCCUGUUUUUUUCCAGUCCAGCCCUU